rnacentral:rRNA from 1 species
CAGCCCCUCGAGUGGUGGGGAUGAUUAUUUGGCCUAAAGCGUCCGUAGCCGGCCGAGCAAGUCUUCCGUUAAAUCCAGCGUCUCAAGCGUUGGACUGCGGGAGAUACUACACGGCUAGAGAGUGGGAGAGGUCAGCGGUAUUCUGGGGGUAGGGGCGAAAUCCUUUGAUCCCCGGAGGACCACCAGUGGCGAAGGCUGCUGACUAGAACACGUCUGACGGUCAGGGACGAAAGCUGGGGUAGCGAACCGGAUUAGAUACCCGCGUAGUCC